UUGAAUGAGAGACCCCCGGAAGACCACCGGGUUGAUAGGCCGCACGUGUAAGGGCAGAGAUGUCCUCAGCGAAGCGGUACUAACGGUCGAUGA
rnacentral:rRNA from 1 species